AACCUCCGCAAUGUACGAAAGUGCGACGGGGGGAUCCCAAGUGUUAUGCUUUUUUGUAUAACUUUUCAUUAGUGUAAAAAGCUUUUAGAAUAAGAGCUGGGCAAGACCGGUGCCAGCCGCCGCGGUAACACCGGCAGCUCUAGUGGUAACAAUUUUUAUUGGGCCUAAAGCGUCCGUAGCCGGUUUAAUAAGUCUCUGGUGAAAUCCUGUAGCUUAACUGUGGGAAUUGCUGGAGAUACUAUUAGACUUGAGACCGGGAGAGGUUAGAGGUACUCCCAGGGUAGAGGUGAAAUUCUGUAAUCCUGGGAGGACCGCCUGUUGCGAAGGCGUCUAACUGGAACGGUUCUGACGGUGAGGGACGAAAGUUAGGGGCGCGAACCGGAUUAGAUACCCGGGUAGUCCUAACUGUAAACGAUGCGGACUUGGUGUUGGGGUGGCUUUGAGCUGCUCCAGUGCCGAAGGGAAGCUGUUAAGUCCGCCGCCUGGGAAGUACGGUCGCAAGACUGAAACUUAAAGGAAUU
rnacentral:rRNA from 1 species